AUAUCAGUCAUGCAUAGCAUAUCAAUAAGCGGAGGAAAAGAAACUAACAAGGAUUCCCUUAGUAACGGCGAGUGAAGCGGGAAGAGCUCAAAUUUGAAAUCUUCAAGGUUUUACCUUGACGAAUUGUAGUUUAAAGAAGUGUUUUCUGUUGAAGUUUUGGUAAAAGUUCUUUGGAAUAGGACAUCAUAGAGGGUGAGAAUCCCGUAUUUGACCAUUACUUUCAGCUUUGUGAUACGCUUUCAAAGAGUCGGAUUGUUUGGGAAUGCAGUCCAAAAUGGGUGGUAAAUUUCAUCUAAAGCUAAAUAUUGGCGAGAGACCGAUAGCGAACAAGUACCGUGAGGGAAAGAUGAAAAGAACUUUGAAAAGAGAGUUAAACAGUACGUGAAAUUGUCAAAAGGGAAGCGUUUGACACCAGUGUUGUUUUCUCGAAAAUCAAUUAAAAAGAGUUGGAUUUUGUGUUGUAUUGACUUUAUCGGCUUUCUUCACUCUUUUCCAGCUUUUUUUAAUGCACUUUUCGUUUAACAAGUCAACAUCAGUUUCUUUUGUUGUAAAAAGGUCAUUGGAAGGUGGCUUUCUCUUCGGAGAAAGUGUUUAUAGCCUUUGACUCAUGCAAUCGGAGAGACUGAGGUCUGCAGCGUAGAUCCUUCGGGGUUAGAUACAUUUGUGCUAAGUUAUAGCUUUUCAUAGACAACUUGUUGACUAUGUUUAGUCUUGUAGCUUACUCGCUUAUGCUAUUUUACCUACGCUUAGGAUGUUGAACUCUAUCACACACAG
rnacentral:rRNA from 1 species